GCCCCCUUGGCACAGUGGUAAUGCGUUUCACUCGUAAAAGAUGAAAAUGAAAAGAUCCUCGGUUCGAUUCCGAGAGGGGGCA